rnacentral:rRNA from 1 species
CAAUAGCGUAUAUUAAAGCUGUUGCGGUUAAAAAGCUCGUAGUUGGAUUUCUGUCAGGGACAACUGGUCCGCCCUCCGGGUGAGCACAUAGUUUGGUCUUGACAUCUUGCUGGAAGCUGUUGCUGCACUUGGCUGUGUGGCGCAGUGUUCAGCACUUUCACUUUGAGGAAAUUGGAGUGUUUCAAGCAGGCACAUGCCUUUGGACACAGUAGCAUGGAAUAAUUAGAUUGGGCUUUUGCUCCAAUUUGUCGGUUUCUGGAGCUGAGGUGAGUAUUAAUGGGGAUUGUUGGGGGCAUCCGAAUUUAGCCGUCAGAGGUGAAAUUCUUGGAUCUGCUAAAGACGGACAACUGCGAAAGCGUUUGCCCAGGAUGUUUUCAUUGA